GUUCAUCUUCAGGGCAGGGUGGAAUUCCCGACCGGCGGUAAAGUCCGCGACCCGCGUGAGCGGUUGAUUCGGUGUAACUCCGAAACCGACAGUAAAGUCUGGUAUGCAGAAGAUGAGA
rfam:Lactobacillus brevis ATCC 367, complete genome.